AUGGCACUUGCCGUGAAGGAGCAUGAAGACAAGCACCAGAAGAGGAGGCGAGGACCUACUGUCGGGCGUCUGUGCAUUCCUCAGAAUCGCCAUCUUGGGAACGAGAUGUUGAUGCAAGACUAUUUUGCGGAGAAUCCUACAUAUCCUCCACACCUCUUCCGGAGAAGGUACCGAAUGCGCCGAUCCCUCUUUGUGAAACUUGUUCAAGCUUGCAAGGCAAAUUGCCGGUAUUUUACUCAAAGAAUGAAUACCGCGGGCUUAAAGGGAUUUAGUGCAUAUCAAAAAAUCUGCGCAACUAUGCGGGUGAUUGCAUAUGGCGUUCCGGCUGACUAUGCCGAUGAGUAUCUUCGCAUUGGUGAAGAUAGCUCAAUUGAGUCUGUGCGUAGAUUUGCGGAAGUGAUCGUCCGUGUCUUCGAUCCUGAGUAUCUUCGGGCACCCAAUGAAGAUGACACAAUAAAAUUGAUGGCAGCAAACGAGAGGAGAGGUUGGUCUGACAUGCUAGGUAGCAUUGACUGUAUGCAUUGGAAUUGGAAAAAUUGCCCAAAGGCUUGGCAAGGAAUGUAUUGUGGCAAGUCUCGUGAUGCAACAAUUAUGCUAGAGGGGCACUCUCAAUGA
rnacentral:rRNA from 1 species